GGAAUGUCUCAUGUUGUGUGCUU
rnacentral:siRNA from 1 species